UGCUCGAGUGGCGAACGGGUGAGUAACACGUGGGUGAUCUGCCCUGCACUUCGGGAUAAGCUUGGGAAACUGGGUCUAAUACCGGAUAGGACCAUCGUUUAGUGUCGGUGGUGGAAAGUUUUUUCGGUGUGGGAUGAGCUCGCGGCCUAUCAGCUUGUUGGUGGGUAAUGGCCUACCAAGGCGUCGACGGGUAGCCGGCCUGAGAGGGUGUACGGCCACAUUGGGACUGAGAUACGGCCCAG
rnacentral:rRNA from 1 species